AUGAAAUAAAGGGUGCGUUUGGUUCGCAUUAUGAAAGAUUACUAGAAAUAAAAGAUAUCCGAGAAUCUUAUUCCUAUUCAUCCUAUUACUAAGAAUGUGGAAUUCUCGUGUUUGGUUCGCACGGUAAUAUUAAUUAGCCAUGUUAUUUAAUAUUACAAAAAAUAUUCAAUUAAUUAAUUUAUUUAUUUAAUGUUACCAAAAGUUUCAACAUCUUUUUAGAAAAAAGGGAGAGAGAGUAUAAGUUAGAGAGAGAGAGCAUAAUUAAAAAAAUAGAAAGAAAAAUAUAGUCGAAAUUAGAGGGAGUGAGAGAGUUGAAAUUUUAGAAAGAGAGAGAGAGAAAGCUUAGUUUAGAGAGAGAAAAAAAAAUUGAAUUUUAGAGAGAAAACUAAGUUUAGAGAGAGAUAUAAGAUUAGAGUGUAAAGAAAAAUAAUAUCAAUUAGCCGAUGGGUAGGAAGAAAGAAAGAGAUUAGAUAUAUAUAUAUAUUAUGAUUACCCCAAUCUAUUAAUAUGAGGAUACCCACCCUCCUUCAAGGGAAUGAGAUUAGUACUUUGGGGUGAAUCUUAUUCCCAAGUGAAUCCAAUAUUACCAACUAGAUUACUUAGUGCGCUUAGCCAAACACCGUCAUAUUUUUUUAUUCCCAUUUGAUUACUAGGAAUCUUUAAAAGAUAGCGCGAACCAAACGCACCCAAAGGGUUAUCUCUAAUUCUAGGGUGGACCCCAGUGUUACUACUCGGCAUCUGUAUAUACUCAUACCUAAGUUCAACGACAGCACAUAA
rnacentral:lncRNA from 1 species